UACGGAGGGUGCAAGCGUUAUCCGGAUUCACUGGGUUUAAAGGGUGCGUAGGUGGGCAGGUAAGUCAGUGGUGAAAUCUCCGAGCUUAACUUGGAAACUGCCGUUGAUACUAUCUGUCUUGAAUAUUGUGGAGGUGAGCGGAAUAUGUCAUGUAGCGGUGAAAUGCUUAGAUAUGACAUAGAACACCAAUUGCGAAGGCAGCUCGCUACACAUAUAUUGACUCUGAGGCACGAAAGCGUGGGGAUCAAACAGG
rnacentral:rRNA from 1 species